CAACUCCAUAUGGCUCAAUAAGCUUAACAAAAUAAGGAAAAGGUUAAGGUCAUAACUGAUGCCAACAGGAUGACAUAUAAAUUCAAAUAAAUUAACAUUUCAAAAUUUAGGGAAGGAGGAAAGGGUGGACAAAGGGAAACUGUUUGACUUAGAUAAUUAAACAAGAAAGUUACAACACUUAAGGAUGGAAAACCAAAAAGAGAAAAGGUAAAAGGAACUCAUUAGGAAAAGGUACCG
rnacentral:misc_RNA from 1 species